rnacentral:rRNA from 1 species
CUGGCUCAGGAUGAACGCUGGCGGCGUGCUUAACACAUGCAAGUCGAACGAAGCAUUCCAACUCUCGGAGGAAGAAAUGACUGAGUGGCGGACGGGUGAGUAACGCGUGGGUAACCUGCCUUAUACAGGGGGAUAACAGUUAGAAAUGACUGCUAAUACCGGACAUAACCCGCUAGUACCGCAUGGUACAGACGGAAAAGAUUUAUCGGUAUAAGAUGGACCCGCGUCUGAUUAGCUAGUUGGUGAGGUAAAUGGCUCACCAAGGCGACGAUCAGUAGCCGGCUUGAGAGAGUGAACGGCCACAUUGGGACUGAGACACGGCCCAAACUCCUACGGGAGGCAGCAGUGGGGAAUAUUGCACAAUGGGGGAAACCCUGAAUGCAGCAACGCCGCGUGAAGGAAGAAGUAUUUCGGUAUGUAAACUUCUAUCAGCAGGAAAGAAAAUGACGGUACCUGACUAAGAAGCCCCGGCUAACUACGUGCCAGCCGCCGC